rnacentral:other from 1 species
AAAUCCCUGCCGUUCACGUGCGCUUGUGAUAUUUUGAGCCAACACUCAUUGAACGGGAACUUUGCUUCAGGUAGCCUGCCGGCUGCCUGAGCGGGUACCCACCUGGAAUUUCCGGGGUUCAAAAAUAUCAUCUGAUUGCACGGCUCGCGUGGGGAUUUU